AGUGAACGCUGGCGGCAGGCCUAACACAUGCGAGUCGAGCGGCAGCGGGUCCUUCGGGCUGCCGGCGAGCGGCGGACGGGUGAGGAAUGCAUCGGAAUCUGCCCUGUCGUGGGGGAUAACCUAGGGAAACUUAGGCUAAUACCGCAUACGACCCACGGGUGAAAGCGGGGGAUCGCAAGACCUCGCGCGAUAGGAUGAGCCGAUGUCCGAUUAGCUAGUUGGCGGGGUAAAGGCCCACCAAGGCGACGAUCGGUAGCUGGUCUGAGAGGAUGAUCAGCCACACUGGGACUGAGACACGGCCCAGACUCCUACGGGAGGCAGCAGUGGGGAAUAUUGGACAAUGGGCGCAAGCCUGAUCCAGCCAUGCCGCGUGGGUGAAGAAGGCCUUCGGGUUGUAAAGCCCUUUUGUCCGGGAAGAAAUCGUCUGGGCUAAUACCCCGUGCGGAUGACGGUACCGGAAGAAUAAGCACCGGCUAACUUCGUG
rnacentral:rRNA from 1 species